AGUGAACGCUGGCGGUAGGCCUAACACAUGCAAGUCGAACGGCAGCACAGGAGAGCUUGCUCUCUGGGUGGCGAGUGGCGGACGGGUGAGGAAUACAUCGGAAUCUACCUUUUUCGUGGGGGAUAACGUAGGGAAACUUACGCUAAUACCGCAUACGACCUACGGGUGAAAGUGGGGACCGGCAAGGCCUCACGCGAUUAGAUGAGCCGAUGUCCGAUUAGCUAGUUGGCGGGGUAAUGGCCCACCAAGGCGACGAUCGGUAGCUGGUCUGAGAGGAUGAUCAGCCACACUGGAACUGAGACACGGUCCAGACUCCUACGGGAGGCAGCAGUGGGGAAUNUUGGACAAUGGGCGCAAGCCUGAUCCAGCCAUACCGCGUGGGUGAAGAA
rnacentral:rRNA from 1 species